AACAGUUGUAACAUGUUCAUGACGGGGGUAUGAGAAUGGUUCAAGUUUGGGAACCAAGGGCUCUUGUCAGUGGCUCUGGAGUCUGAUGAGCCUGUAUGCUAGUUCUGGGGCCUCUGCUUACUAGCUGUGUGACCUUAGAUUAUCCAGGAUCCCUUUGGUCACAUGUAACAUAAAAAUCAACUUCUUCUGUACACUCAAUUUCCUAGCAGCAUUAUCCACAAUAGCCAAAAAGCAAAACAGCCCAAAUGUUCCCCGAUGGAUGAACGGAUAAACAAAAUGGAGGAUAUACAUACAAGGGAAUAUUAUUCAGCCUAAAAAAGGAAGAAAAUUCUGGCACGUGCUACAACAUGGGUGAAUCUUGAGGACUCUAUGACUGCAGAGCUGCUGAGAAAGAUCUCAUCUGUUCACAAUCUACCCGCAAAAUACACAGGCCCUGGGCUGUCUGGAGUGCCCAUUUCCUGCCCUGUGGAGAUCCCUGGACUCACGGAGAAAAGUGGCCGCUAUAGCAUGUGGGUGAGUAGCCCUUGCUGCCCCAGCAGGAAAGAGCAAAA